GACCCCUGACAACCGGCAAAGAGACGCCUUGUUUGUGGUGUUGGUCUUCUUUCAGUCAGGGGCAGAGCAGUGGCAGUCCUUCAUUCAUCCUAACUUGAUGCCUGGCUUGGUGUCUUAAGCCGUUUUAUGCCUAGAACACCUAA